rnacentral:rRNA from 1 species
UUUAAUUAUAAACUUAUUUAAGUUUGAUUGUACCUUUUGCAUCAUGAUUAAAUGAUUAUUUAUCUAGUUUAUAGUACAUUCGAAAUUAUGUGAUCUUAUUAUAGUUAUUUUUAUUUGGGUAAUAUAAAACUAAAUUGUAGUAAGAAGUGAUAAGUUAUACGUACAUAAUUAUAUCUAAUUAGAGGUUACUUUACUAAAUAUAUUUUAUUAUAUAUUUAGGGGUUAUUUGUUUAAUUAAUAUUUAUUAAUUUUGGAUUAAUAUUACCCUUUAUCUUGUUAUAAAGUCUUUUAUAGAUAAAUAGCAAUUUCUUAGUACCUCUCUCAUAUAACUACUUUAGUAGAUUGUGUUAUAAAUAAGUAUAUAAAUAAUAGUAAUUUUUCUCGUAAUAAUCCGAACUGUUUAUUAAAAACAUUUCCUAUUAUAAAGUUUUAUAGGUAACCCCUGCUCAUCGUUAUAAGUUUUAUAACAAGAAUCCGCAUUAUUUUGACUGUGCUAAGGUAGCAUAAUUAAUUGCCUUCUAAAUAGAGGAUUGUCUGAAUGGGGAUAAUUGGGUUUAAUUUAAGAUUACUAUUUUUAGAAAUUAGUUUGUAGUUGCAGAACACUACUUUAUUUUAUAAGACGGAAAGACCCUAAGAGCUUAGUUUCUUUUAUUUUGGGCAAAGCUAUUAUAUUAAUUAGUUUAUAAUCCUAUUAGGGAAAAAAUAAAGUUACCUUAGGGAUAACAGGGUUAGAUGUAUUUAGAGUUCUUAUCAAUAUACAUAAAUGCCACCUCGAUGUUGACUUAAAUUUACUUUAUUGUGUAGAAGCUUUAAUAGUAAGCCUGUUCGGCUUUUAAAAUUUUUCAUGAGUUGAGUUAAGACCGGUGUAAGCCAGGUCGGUUCUUAUCUAUAACUGGUCUACUAUAGUACGAAAGGAUUUAGUAGUAAAUAUUUUAUUAUAAUUUAUAAUUUACA